rnacentral:lncRNA from 1 species
AUAAUUUUUGACUUUUUUUUUUUUUAAUUCUGGUUGUACAAAUUGCCAGAACUCGAAUUCCAACAGUGCCACUCACAAGCUUUGCGGACUUGGGCAGGUUAACUAGCCUCUCUGCGCAUUAGUUUCCUCGUCUAUAAAGUGGAGAAAACAAUAUCACAGGACAGUGAGGGAUACAAGGAAUGAAUACAGCUGAAGACUGCAUUAUGUCCGGCACAGACAACGUUUCCAAUAAAUGGCAGCUAUAUGAUGAUUCGCUUGUCCUAUUACACACCUCAGCGUUUGGAGGAUCUUGCCCUGUAGUGGAUGAAAGUGCUAAGCUCUUGGAACUGCGAAGGUGACCUUCCCAAAGCUCUGUGAGUUGGUGGCAGACCCAGCCCACCUCCCUCUCCCUACCACCUUUCUGUUCCCCCACUGGACCGGGACGUUCUUAGCACCAAGACUGCAAAUGGCCAAAAUUGCUGCUUUUGUGGCAUUAAGGAUCUAGUUAGGUAGGGAUAGCUGUGUACGUGCAGAUAAUAAUUACGUACACAAAUCUGAUAAAUGGGGAUGGGUGAUCAGUGCUAUGAAGAAAUCAAUUAGGACAGGGGAGAGAGAAUACUCAGUAGUUAAUUCUUCUGAUUGAGGAGAAGCCUGGAUGAUGUAGACAGACUGCAUCGCUUAAAAAUAAACCAGCCCUCUGAAAGAGAAAGCAGGCUUAACUUUUUCUCUGCUGGCCUCAAAAAAGGGACACAGGUACUUUUCACCAUGAUUAGUGUUCAAUACCCAGUUCCCUCCAGAAGUGACUGACGUCGCCGAGGAUUCCAGCUCACCGGCCUGUUGGAUCAGCAAAGAGAUUGGCACAGAAAAGUGACACGAUUUGCACAAACAGGGUGAUGCUGGGGCUGGCACGGGCAGGUGGUUUCCAACAGAUUCUGAAAACAAGGAAGGAAAUGACUAGAACUCAGGGGUUAGAUAGGGCUCUCUGGGCCCUGAGGAGUGAUUCCAAGAAUCUGUGUGUACGUGAUGCACGGACUUGAGAAACAGCAAGGUGGCAGCGCACUAGAGCCCAUUCGAUGAUGCAGGUGGCGGGCUUGUCUUUAAGGCCAUGUUGUUUCAAUAGGACAUAGCAAGGUACCCGGAUCUGUCUUCUGUUGGUGGAACUUUCACAAUGAUGGAAAGAGGCAGGAGGUGCAAUUUUCGACAGAGCUGCCAGAAUUAACCAAAGGGCAGUUGUUAGAUGGCAAAGUGGUCAUCUCGGGGAACUAAGAUUUUGAUUGAAGGUUUUUUAAAACAAGUUUUCAAAAAGCCUCCAAUAUAGCAUCGCAUGCAUGUGCUUCUCAAAUACACCUCUCCCUCCACCUUGUCUUCUCCUCUUCAUCAUUUCUCUCUGCAGCCAGGCACCCCUGUCACCCAUCCUUGGUCGCUCUGAAAUGGUGCCAGCAUCUGAAAUGCUGCCGUACCCACAGAAGAUGCUGAACUCUAUUGCUUUUCUUUUCUUUUUCUUUUUUUGGUCUUUUGGCCAUUUUCUUGGGCCAAUCCUGCGGCACAUGGAGGUUCCCAGGCUAGGGGUCGAAUCGGAGCUGUAGCCGCCAGCCUAUGCCAGAGCCACAGCAACGCGGGAUCCGAGCCGCAUCUGUGACCUACACCACAGCUCACGGCAACGCCGUACCCACAACCCUCUGAGAAAGGUGAGGGACGGAACCCGCAACCCCAUGGUUUCCAGUCGGAUUCGUUAACCACAGCCACGACGGGAACGCCUGAACUCUAUUUCUUCAAUGACUCAAUGCUCAUUAUCACCAUCUCACGAUUCAUUCGUCUAGCGCUUUAAAGGUGUCUAAAGCGCUUUUCCAUGUCUUAUGGUGAAAUUGCUAGUAUGUGCUCAGCAUUCUAUAAAUGAUCAAAGUCUUUGUGUGUGUUGUCUCCCAUGACAUCGAAACAAUGGUGCGGGUUAUUGUUAUUUGGCCCAUUCUGCAGGUAAGGAAGCUAAGGCUUAGGAAGGCUAAGUGCCUCAUCUACUCACACCUAAUGCAUGCUGGGCAGAAUGGGAUUGUACUUAGCUCUCCUGGCUCCAAACUCCCUUUUUGCUACUUCCCCAGGCUUGCAUCUGAGGCUCAAGAUGACCCUGUGAGGCUGUGGGAGAGGGGAGCCUCUAGAAGGCAAUGUGACCUGUCCAGGGCCCAGGUACUGACCAGAAGUGGGCUCUCUGUUUCUAAGCCCUGGCGGUCACUAUUAUCAUGCUUAUUAUCAGAACACAUUUUUAAAAAAUGGGACCCCCUCCUGUGUGGUUGUCCACUAAGCACUCAUGAGGUGAGUUAAACAGACAUGAAUUAUGUUCUCUGCUCCACAAAUGGAAAAGUCGCAAGGAAAUUAUCUGUUCAUCUAGGUCCCAAACCAUGUUUGCAUUAAUUCUUUGGAUACUGCAUGCAAACUCAUACUAACUUUUUCCUCUCCUGUUAGUGUAUAAACUUCCAUUGAGGGUCUAAUAUCUAAAUCAACAUGGCUGGAACAUUUUCUUCUGUUUCUCAUUAUUUUUGCUAAAUUAUGAUAAUCAUUUUAUGUUAUAUAAUAUUACUGUUUAUAUAAUGAUAUAUCAUAUAUCACUAUAUUAUAUUACAUUACCCUGUAUAUUAAAAAAUAAAUAAUAUGAUAUUGUUAGACUCACAAUUUUAGAGUUGGAAGAGACCUCAGGGAGGAUUUAGCCCAACCUCAUCGCUUUGCAGAUGAGGAAGCUGACUCUCCUGGCUGCCCAGGGACACAGAGCUGGACACACGGCUGGCUGCAGGAAAAGCUGGGACUUGAGUGUCAGGUCUUGGCUCCCAGGGGCUCUUUCACCUUCCCUCAGGCCUCAGACCUCCCCAGGCUCUACCUUGGAGUUCUGGGCUCUGUGUCUAUUUGUCUCAGG